GACGAACGCUGGCGGCGUGCUUAACACAUGCAAGUCGAACGCUGAAGCUUGGUGCUUGCACUGGGUGGAUGAGUGGCGAACGGGUGAGUAAUACGUGAGUAACCUGCCCUUGACUCUGGGAUAAGCCUGGGAAACUGGGUCUAAUACUGGAUAUGACAUGCCACUGCAUGGUGGUGUGUGGAAAGGGUUUUAUUGGUUUUGGAUGGGCUCACGGCCUAUCAGCUUGUUGGUGGGGUAAUGGCCUACCAAGGCGACGACGGGUAGCCGGCCUGAGAGGGUGACCGGCCACAAUGGGACUGAGACACGGCGCAGACUCCUACGGGAGGCAGCAGUGGGGAAUAUUGCACAAUGGGCGGAAGCCUGAUGCAGCGACGCCGCGUGCGGGAUGACGGCCUUCGGGUUGUAAACCUCUUUCAGCACGGAAGAAGCGAGAGUGACGGUACGUGCAGAAGAAGCGACGGCUAACUACGUG
rnacentral:rRNA from 1 species